GGGCCUUUAGCUCAAUAGGUUAGAGCAGCAGACUCAUAAUCUGAAGGUUACAGGUUCAAUCCCUGUAAGGCCCA
rnacentral:tRNA from 1 species